CCUACGGGAGGCAGCAGUGGGGAAUAUUGCACAAUGGGGGAAACCCUGAUGCAGCAACGCCGCGUGAAGGAAGAAGGGUUUCGGCUCGUAAACUUCUAUCGAUAGGGACGAAAGAGAUGACGGUACCUAAAUAAGAAGCCCCGGCUAACUACGUGCCAGCAGCCGCGGUAAUACGUAGGGGGCAAGCGUUAUCCGGAAUUACUGGGUGUAAAGGGAGCGCAGGCGGCCUGCCAAGUCUGGUGUGAAAACCCGGGGCCCAACCCCGGGCCUGCAUUGGAAACUGGCGGGCUGGAGUGUCGGAGGGGCAGGCGGAAUUCCUAGUGUAGCGGUGAAAUGCGUAGAUAUUAGGAGGAACACCGGUGGCGAAGGCGGCCUGCUGGACGAUGACUGACGCUGAGGCUCGAAAGCGUGGGGAGCAAACAGGAUUAGAUACCCGAGUAGUC
rnacentral:rRNA from 1 species